CUGAUGCAGCCAUGCCGCGUGUAUGAAGAAGGCCUUCGGGUUGUAAAGUACUUUCAGUUGUGAGGAAGGGGGUGUCGUUAAUAGCGGCAUUUCUUGACGUUAGCAACAGAAGAAGCACCGGCUAACUCCGUGCCAGCAGCCGCGGUAAUACGGAGGGUGCGAGCGUUAAUCGGAAUUACUGGGCGUAAAGCGCAUGCAGGUGGUUCAUUAAGUCAGAUGUGAAAGCCCGGGGCUCAACCUCGGAACUGCAUUUGAAACUGGUGAACUAGAGUACUGUAGAGGGGGGUAGAAUUUCAGGUGUAGCGGUGAAAUGCGUAGAGAUCUGAAGGAAUACCAGUGGCGAAGGCGGCCCCCUGGACAGAUACUGACACUCAGAUGCGAAAGCGUGGGGAGCAAACAGGAUUAGAUACCCUGGUAGUCCACGCCGUAAACGAUGUCUACUUGGAGGUUGUGGCCUUGAGCCGUGGCUUUCGGAGCUAACGCGUUAAGUAGACCGCCUGGGGAGUACGGUCGCAAGAUUAAAACUCAAAUGAAUUGACGGGGGCCCGCACAAGCGGUGGAGCAUGUGGUUUAAUUCGAUGCAACGCGAAGAACCUUACCUACUCUUGACAUCCAGAGAAGCCAGCGGA
rnacentral:rRNA from 1 species